CUGUUCACUUUGGGUGUUUGUGUCUAAGGGGUAAGCACAAUACAUUUAUCUAUCAGCAUGGAAUUAUGUUCUCAGAAACCAGUGAUUCUUAUUCAUUCACUGAUUUAACAGAUCACUUAAUGAGUUUGGUCCUGGGCACUGUCCAGGAGCUAAGGAGAUACAAACAUGGAUGGCACAAUCUCUGUUCUCGAGACUGAAUAUUCACAUAGUGACAGAAGUCGUAGAAAUACUUGUCUACUUGGAAGGAGUGAUUCAAUGUGAAGGCUCUGAAGUCAGACACAGAAAAGCACAGCGUUGGAUUCAAAUCCUGGCCAUGUGACUUUAGGCAAGUUAUUGACACUCUCCAAACCUCAGAUUUCUUGUCUCUGUAAUGGGGAUAAUAAUAGUUCCUAAUUCAAAGGGUUGUUAUUCUCCUCAAAUUGAUUAAUAGAUUUAAUGUAAUCCCAAACAAAAUCCCAGCAUUUUAAAAAAAACAUGGAAGUUGAAAAGCAGAGUGAGUCUAAAAUAUAUAAGGCAAUAAAAAGGGACAGGGAUGGCCAAGACAAUGUCAAAGAAGAACAGAGCUGGAAGGAUCAUACUGCCUUAUAACAUGACUUACUCUAAGUCUACAGCAACUAAAACAGUAUGGUUUGGGCCCAAGGAUAGACAAAUAGACUAAAAGAAUAGUCUAGAAAUAGGCUGACAUGCAUAGGUCAGUUAAUUUAUUAAUUUAUGACAAAGAUAACAUUCAGAGCAGUGGGGAAAGGAUUUUUUUUUUUUUUGGUAACAAUAUUUGUUCUUUUGUGUCUUGCUUAUCUCACUUAGCAUAGUGUCUUCAGGAUUCAUGCAGGCUGUGACCUGUGUCAAAAUUUCAUUCCUCUUAGAGGCUGAAUAAUAUUCCAUUGUAUGUGUAUCCCACAUUGUGUUUAUCUGUUCAUCCACUGGUGGACAUCUGUGUUGCUUCCAGCUUUUGGUCACCGCUGUGAGCAAUGCUGCUUUGCAUUUUAGUGUGCAAAUUUCUGUUCGAGUUCUUGUUUUCAGUUCUUUUGAGUGUAUACUCGGAAGUGAAAUUGCUGGGUCAUUUGCUAUUCCAUGUUGAAUUUUUUGAGGAUCUGCCAUCUACUUUCCACACUGGCUGUGCCAUUUUACAUUCCCAUGUGCAUUGUACGAUGUUUCCAAUUUCUCCACAUCCUUGCCAAGACUUAUUUUCUAGUGUUUUGGCUUGUUUUUUUGCUUUUGACUGAUGAUAGCCAUCCUUCUGGGUGUGAUCCAGUUUUUUUUUUAAUUUACUUUUUGUACUGCUAAAUGAAUGUCUCACUUUGGCUCAUCAUGGUCUCUGGUCACUAUACUAUGAAAUUUAACAACGAGCAUUUAGUGGGUGGUUGUCACAUAAUAGUCACUGAACUGAGUUCUUUACUUUAUUAUCUUAUUCAGUCCCCAAAACAAUAAUGUUUUUGGCAAACAUUUAACUGAAAUAUAACACGCAUACAGAGAAGUGUGCAAAUGGUAGGUACACACAUUGAUGCGUUUUCACAAAGUGGAUACACCUAUGUGACCAGCACCUAGAUAAAAGGCUAAAACAUUAUCAGCACUCCAGAAAUCUCUUGGUGUCCUCUCCCACUGCUACACAGUCCCUCAUUCCCCCCCAAGCCUCAGUAGAAAGCAAUGAUAACUAUCUUUAAACUCAUAGGUUAGUUUUGCCUGUUUUUGAAUUUUAUAUAAAUGGAAUCGUAAACUACAAAAUCUGCGCGUUGCUUCCCUUACUAAAUAUGUUUAUGAGGUUCAUUCGUGUUUUCACAUGUAAUAAUAUUUCAUUUAUUAGCAUUGCUAAGAGGCAUUUCAUUUUAUGACUGUAGCACAAUUUAUUUAUCCAUUCUACUGUUGAGGGAUAUUUAGGCAGUUUCCUGUUUUAGGCUCUUACUAACAGCACUGCUGUGAACAUUCUUUUUGUAAAUAUCUUUUGAUGAAUAUAUGCACACAACUCUAUUGGGUAUUUACCCAGGAGUGUGAUUGCUAAGUCAUAGGAUGUAUGUCUAUGUAGCCUCAGUGGCUACUUCCAAAGGGAUUGAUAAAUAUACCUACUUCCCACAGGAUAGGAGAGUCCCAACCACUUGCCCACAUUGUUUCUCCUUUUCAUUUUAGCCAUGUGUGGUGAAUAUUAUCAUCCUAAUGCACUCCCCCACCUCAAUUCAUCUGUUGAAACCUAAUCCUCAAUGUGACGGUAUUUAGAGGUAGGGACUUUACAAGGUGAUGGCAGGUGCCCUUAUAAAAGAGGCCCCAGAUUCGUCCUUUGCCACCAUGGAAGGUUAUAGCUGGAAAGCCCAGUCUAUGCACCAGAAAGCGGGUCCUCACCAUCCACCAAAUCUUUGCCUCCAUGGUUGGUCUUCCCAGCCUUCAGAACUGUAAGAAAGGAAUGUCUGCUGUUUAUAAGCCGCUCCACCUAUGGUAUUUGGUUAUAGCAGCACAAAUAGACUGAGGCAGUGUCUGUUCAACGCCUGUGAACACAUAGUGGUAUUGCAUUGCGCUUUUAAUUUGCAUUCUUGGUGAACAGUGAAAUUAAGCACUGUUUUCAUAUGUUUAUUGGCUGCUUGGAUAUCUUCUCUGGGGCAGUGUCUGUUCAAAUCUUUUGUCCACUUUUCUAUUGUGUUGCUUUCCUUUUUUCUUAUUAAUUGUGAAAGUUCUUUACUCAGAAAAUGAGUUUCUGUACCAUAUAUUGCAAAUAUCUUUUCUCACGUGCCUUUUCACUGUCUUCAGGGUGUCUUUUGAUGAACAGAAGCUUUAAGUUUUAAUCCAGUCCAGUUUACUGUUUUAUUUUAAUGACUAGUACCUUUUGGUGUCCUGGUUAAGAAUCUGCCAUAUUCCAUCACUUUGGCACUGCUGGUGGGAAUGCAAGCUGGUGCAGCCACUGUGGAAAACAGUAUGGAGAUUCCUCAAAAAAACUAAAAAUAGAACUACCCUACCACCCAGCAAUUGCACUACUAGGCAUUUAUCCAAUGGAUACAGGUGUGCUGUUUCAAAGGGACACAUGCACUCCAAUGUUUAUAGCAGCACUAUCAACAAUAGCCAAAGUAUGGAAAGAGCCCAAAUGUCCAUCGAUGGAUGAAUGGAUAAAGAAGAUGUGGUGUGUGUGUGUGUGUGUGUGUGUGUGUGUGUAUAUAUAUAUAUAUACGCAUAUAUAUAUAUAUAUAUAUAUAUGCACACAAUGGAGUAUUACUCAGCAAGCCAAAAGAAUGAAAUCUUGACAUUUGCAACUAUGUGGAUGGAACUAGAGGGUUUUAUGCUAAGCAAAAUUAGUCAGUUGGAGAAAGACAAAUAUAUGACUUCACUCAUAUGAGGACUUUAAGAGACGAAACGGAUGAACAUAAGGGAAGGAAAGCAAAAAUAAUAUAAAAACAGGGAGGGGAACAAAACAGAAGAGACUCUUAAAAAUGGAGAACAAACAGAGGGUUACUGGAGGGGUUGUGGGAGGGGGGAUGGGCUCAAUGGGUAAGGGGCAUUAAGGCAUCUACUCCUGAAAUCAUUGUUGCACUACAUGCUAACUAGCUUGGAUGCAAAUUAAAAAAUAAAUUAAUUAAAAAAAAAAGAAUCUACCAUCCUCCAAGGUGAUGAAGACAGACAUGUUAUGUUUUUAUUCUAGAAUAUUUAUUAGUUUUCUUUUUCAUUUAGAUUUAAAAGGCAUCUGAAUAAAUCUGAAUACAUUUCUGUGUAUUAUAUGAGGUAAGGAUUUGAGAUUCACCUUUUCUCCAUACAGAGAGCCAAUCAAACAUAAGUUAGAUUGUGAAUUUGGCCUGGUCCAAAUACUACCUCCUUUCUGAAAUAUUUUCACAGAAUCCUAGUUGGAAAUAACUAAGUAUUUUUAAUUAACUUGAUAAAUAUUGUUUUGCACCUCUAGUAUUUGUUGGUGUAGCGAGGUUGCUAAGGGGAGGCCUCUCUGAGAGCGGACAUUUGAGCUCAGACCUGAAUGAAAUAAUGCCAGUCAUGAGCAAAGUUGGGGAAGAAAAUUCCAGGAAGAGGCACAAGAUGGCCAGUGCAGCCGAAGUAUAGUGUUCCAGAGGGUGUGAAGCACAAGAGAAUUCUUUCAAACGUGAAAUCAAAGGAAAGACAACCAGACUGGUAUCACCACAAGACAAUAAAGCCAUGCCCACAAAGUUCUGAGGGAAGCUGUUUUCCAGCCUGGAAUUCUUUCUGUCAGGAGUAAAGGCAGAAUGAAGACAUUUCAGACUUACAAGAACUUAGAAAUUUUACCUGUGAAGCAACUUUCUUUCCUUAGGGUUUUUACAUGGCGGUCUACUCCAAUGGGGUAAGGACAAGAAGAGGAAGACACGGGCCCACCCAGGAGGACAGUGAAGCGAAAAGCCACCAUGAAAAUAGUGUGUCUUUUCCAGACAAGUGGUUCAGAAUGGAGCCGGUUUGGACAAGGUUUGGGAGUAUUUUUAGCUUUUACUCGUGCUCUUUCCAAUCCAUUUUCCACAAUGUUGUUCAAGUAAACUUGGUAAAAUUUUACAUUACCUCCCCCUUCAGUUUAAAAGCCUUCAUGGCCCCCCAUAAGUUUCAGAAUAAAAGCCAUCUUUCAGUGUGAAAUAAAAAUCCCUUUGUGGUUGACCUCUGUCGUUUCUUACCGCUCUGGAUGGCCACUCAUACCCACUGCUCCCAUCACCGAUUUUCUUCUUCUUCCUUUUUAAUGUUUCAAGCUUCGGUUUAAAUUUUAGUUCGCUAACAUACAGUGUAAUAUUAGUUUCAGAAGUAGAAUUUAGUGACUCAUCACUUAACAUAUGACACCCAGUGCUCAUCCCAAGUGCCCUCCUUAAUGCCUAUCACCCAUUUAGCCCAUGCCCCCGCCCACCUCCCCUCCAGCAACCCUCAGUUUGUUCUCUAUAGUUCAGAAUCUGUUUUAUGGUUUCCCCUAUGUUCACCCAUUUUGUUUCUUAAAUUCCACAUUUUUUAAAGUUUCUACCUGCAUUUAAUACUAAGCUAGUAAUUCAAGGUUUUUUCCAUAUUUUCAUGUACAUCAUGACCAAACCGAGAAUAAUACAAUAUUUUAUUUGUCAAAAUUGUCUUCUUCCUAAUAUAAUUUAUUUAAAGUAAAUUUAAAAGAAUGUCAUUUUUUAUAUUGAGUGAGGCCAAAUAUUACCAAAGAUUUUAUUAAACAUAAAUUUUACCAUGUAAUAUUUGAUAAAAUAAAGGUUUUUUCUCAACAUAAUAAUUAAUUUUAUUUUUUUAAAUUUACAUCCAAAUUAGUUAGCAUCUAAUGCAACAAUGAUUUCAGGAGUAGAUGCCUUAAUGCCCCUUACCCAUUGAGCCCAUCCCCCCUCCCACAACCCCUCCAGUAACCCUCUGUUUGUUCUCCAUAUUUAUGAGUCUCUUAUGCUUUGUCCCCCUCCCUGUUUUUAUAUUAUUUUUGUUUCCUUUCCCUUGUAUUCAUCUGUUUUGUCUCUUAAAGUCCUCAUAUGAGUGAAGUCAUAUGAUAUUUGUCUUUCUCUGACUAAUUUCACCCAGCAUAAUACCCUCCAGUUCCAUCCACGUAGUUGCAAAUGUCAAGAUUUCAUUCUUUUUGAUUGCCGAGUAAUACUCCACUGUGUGUGUAUAUGUAUGUAUAUACAUAUAUAUACCACAUCUUCUUUAUCCAUCCAUCCAUCGAUGGACAUUUGGGCUCUUUCCAUACUGUGGCUAUUGUCGAUAGUGCUGCUAUAAACAUGGGGGUGCAUGUGUCCCUUCGAAACAGCACACCUGUAUCCCGUGGAUAAAUGCCUAGUAGUGCAAUUGCUGGGUCGUAGGGUAGUUCUAUUUUUAAUUUUUUGAGGAACCUCCAUACUGUUUUCCAGAGUGGCUGCACCAGCUUGCAUUCCCAUUAAAUUCCACAUUUAAGAGUGAAAUCAUAUGGUAUUUGUCUUUUGCUCACUGACUUAUUCUGCUUAGCAUAAUACACUCUAACUCCAUCCAUGUUGUUACAAAUGGCAAAAUUUCAUUCUUUUGGUGGCUGAGUAAUAUUCCACUGUGUGUGUGUGUGUGUGUGUGUGUGUGUGUGUGUAAUAUACAACAUCUUCUUUAUCCAUUCAUCCGUUGAUGGACCCUUGGGCUCUUUCCAUAACUCGACUAUCGUUGAUAAUGCUGCACACGGGUGCACACACCUGUUGAAAUCAGGAUUUUUGUAUCCUUUGGGUAAAUACCUAGUAGUACAACUGCUGGAUCAUAAGGUAGUUCUAUCUUUAACUUUUUGAGGAGCCCCCAUACUGUUUUCCAGAGUGGCUGCACCAGUUUGCAUUCCCCCCAACAGUGUAAGAGGCUUCCCCUUUCUCUGCAUCCUCACCAACAUCUGUUGUUUCCUGUGUUGUUAAUUUUAGCCACAAUCUCUGAUAUUUUUACAGACUUCUUAAAGCUAUCUGUUAUAGCAAAUCCUUUGUAGCUACUGCUCUCUCUCUGCAAGGAAACUCAUCUUUCCCUCCUUUCCCUGGUAGAUUCUUCCUUGUUUUUCAAACUUCAUUUUUUUGGGGAAACUAUGUGUUCUCCUACCCACCACUGGCUGCAGUGCCCUUGGUUUUAAACCCCGUGAUUUCUCUAUGCUUCUCACCUCUGGUACCGAUCUGUCUCUUUUUCAUUUUUUACUUAUUUAUCUGUUCUCCUCACUAGCUUAUAAUCUGCUGGAGAGUAGCGACUCCAUUUUAAUCAUUGUUGACGUUUCCAUAAUGGCCGCUCCGUGGUCAGACUUAGGUAAAAUCAUUUGCUAGCAUCAUUUGCUAUGGGAACUCUGAGCCCCAGUUUCCUCACUUGCAAAAUGAUAUGGUAUUUUCAUCUGCAGCACUUGGCACACAGAAGGUGCUCAGUAAGUUGUGUGGAAUGAAUCCAUGCAGAGUUCCCAGGGGAGGAAUAUCUCAGCAGGGGAGUAAGGAUGACUCACUUCAGUCAAUCUUGAUCCCUCUCCCCUCUCUCCCCUCUGAAAGAGGAGUGCUUGGCUUCCUCUCUAGGACCAUUAUGCCUUGAAAGUGGUGAGGAAAAUCUGAAAAAUGCAGCCUCUUUUCUUUUUCAUGUUUAUCCAUGUGUUGACCUAAGGAAUUCAGGAUAUCUCAGAGGGCAAAAAUUUCCCAAAGAUGCCAUUGUCUGACCAUUCUUACAAAGCUGUCUAAACAUAGUGUUACUUUAGGACCCAAAUUUUCUUAGAUGUGGAUGUGUUAGUUAUAGACUGGAGGAAGCAAAGGAAUCAUGUACCCAUUCUGCAGAUGGAAAACCUCGCAAUCUUCCCUAAACUCCUCAGAGCCCAAGAACUCAUAUAACCUGGCAAGAAUCUACCCAGAAGAGCCCUCCUGCCCAGUGUCUCCUCUCCCCCAGUUAAUUUUUUUGAUGUUUAUUUAUUUUUGAAAGAGAGAGAGAGAGCACAAGUGGGGAAGGAAAGAUUGAGAGAGAGAGAGAGAGAGAGAGAGAGACGCAGAAUCCAAAGCAGGCUCCAGGCUCUGAGCUGUCAGUACAGAGCCUGACGCGGAGCUUGAACUCAUGAACCAUGAGAUCCUGCCGUGAGCCAAAGCCUGAUGCCAUCGAGUUAAAUAUAUAUUCCCCCAGUUAAAUAUAUAUUCUCUUUUUGUUCUUACUUUGGAGGCAGCAUCCCCAUGGAGCUGCCCUACUGUGAAUGAGUUUCUAGAACAAAGAAAGACAGUUGAUCUUUCUCAAUGUGUCUAUAAGACCUGGAGCAGAGUCACGGAAUGGACUGUGCACUCCAUGAAGGUUCAUAGCAGCAUUAUUCGUAAAAGCCCCAACGUGAAAACAGCCCAAACAUCCAUCAACCAAUAAAUGGGUACAUAAAAUGUGGUGUAUCCCUACAUGGAAUAUUAGCAGAGAAAAGAAUGAAGUACAGACGCGUGCUACAACUUGGGUGAAUCUUGACAUCAUACUAAGGGAAAGAAGCCAGACGCAAAAGACCACAUAAUAUGUGAUUCCAUUUAUAUGACAUGUCCAGGGUAGGCCAAUUUAUAGAGACAAAAAGUAGGUUAGCUGUUGCUUGGGGCUGGGGGUGGGGACUGGGAAGCAAUGGGGAGUGGCCACUGAUGGGGUGGGAUUUCUUUCUGGGGUGAUGAAAACGUGGUAAAAUUGAUUGCACUGUUGGUCACACAACUCUGUGUAUAUACCAAAAGCCACUGAACUGUACACGAAAGUGCACAUUGAAAAAUGUGCAAAUUGUGUUUCAGUAAAGCUGUUAGGAAGAAAGAGAUCUUGGAAAGAGUUGGGGCGGGGAGAAAAAAAGAGACUGGAUUGUGCUCUCUCGUGUAUCGACUCCUGCAAGCAUUCAUUUUGCAGGAGAAAGAAUCAAGAUCCUAACAGUGGGUCUGAGACAGAUUUCUGGCCAUCAGGUCUUCCUCUCCCCCCCAGUAGAGAAGAAUUAGUGAUCAGAGCAGGCUCUAGCUGCAUAGCCUUUAAGGUUAACUUUUGCAAACUAUUGCUAACUUUUCCUUUUCCAUUUCCUUUCUUUCGGUCUUCUUCUCCUUCCCAGGGACCCAGUCGUCCUACAGGUAGAGCAGGUGCACUACAACUUGGAUCACAAACUGGGGCAACUGAUCUGUCUGGAAAGUGUGUUGAAGACAACACUGAUUCAGGGUGCAGUGCCCUGAGUUCGAGGUCUGCCUUCAGCGUUUCUCUGAAAUAAACAAACAUUAAAAAGAAUGAAAGAAAGAGCUCAGAAUGCAGGGGUUUCUGCCUUUUCUUCUCCAUGAGGUAUUGAACGUGAGGCUGGCCAAGGGAUGUCAGCUUGGCAGGAGGCACAGCACCAACCGCUACGUAUCUGCCAUCAAAUUCUGCUUAACAUGUAAAACUUCCUUUUCUCACAAGUGACUAUCUAUGCCACUCUCUGUCAAGGUGAACACUGGGACUGUGUUUCUCUAAGUAAUGUAGGUCCAACUUACUUUAAGAGCAAGGAGGCGUAGGGCAAGGCCACACUCAAGCCAUUGCCGAAGAAAGCAAGAGUGAAUGCUGGGAUUGUUCCAGAACUUGCCUUGAUGACUGAAGAGCUGUGGUUAGGGCAGGAACAGCUGGACUCACCCAAUGAUAUGGGACAAACCAGGAAGUAGGGGGUUAACUGUCAGGGCUUUUUGGACCCUGAAGACACUGCUGCACUAUAACCCUUGUGACUGUGCUCUAAUCAUUGCUACCUUGUUUCACGUUACUUUGAAUCUUUGGAUUCCUUCAACCAUGCCACCGAAAAACUUCUAGUAGCUGAAAAAGCUGAGCACCACUGGAUUACCUACUUAUUCCCAAAAGUACCCCACUGAUUAAGAUUGCCAGACAAAAUACAGGACACCCAGUUAAAUUUGAAUUUCAUAUAAAACAACAGUGCUUUUUUUGAGUAUAAGUGGGGUAGCCCAUGAAAUAUGUGUUUGUCUGAACUUCCAAUUUAAUUGGGAGUUGUCCAUUCAUUCAUUCAUUCAUUUGCUAAAUCUGGCCACCCCUACCUCUGAUUCCCUUUGCCAAGUGAUAGCAGCGCCCACUUCAGAUACUGUUUUGUAACGUGUGCGCCAUCUAGUGGUCACACGAACAAGGAGGAAACCAAGAAAUCACUUUAAAACAGCGGCGUGAGAAAACUGCAAAGACACAACUCUGCUUUCCUUUUUCAAAUGUUUUAGAUUUUGCUUUACCUACCUCUUUGGAUGUGGUGUCUGUGAUCAAAUUAACAGCCCAGAGCGUCCAGCAGAUACCUGAAAUCCCUUGUAAGUCAUGCCGUGUUCAAAGGGCAACACUCACCCCACCUGCCCGAGGCCUUGGGCUCCCCCAUUAACACAUAAACGUGAAAGUGCAGCCUUGUCCUUGAUCUACUGUGGUUCCCAGUUCCUAGUAAUUGUUUUACAAUAAGCACGUGGCUUUCAGCAGCAGCUAGUGUAUUACAUGUCAGGUGCAAUUUUACUAAACCUCAC
rnacentral:lncRNA from 1 species